AAAAAAGCUGUAGUUACAAAAAAAUAAAAUUUUAUACCAAAAAUAUACUUAUAAAGUGAAAGAAUUUCAAACGAAAUAGUAAAACGAAAUUCAAGGCAGCGCAAACGAGCGAAAGAAGCAGAUUUUUGCAGGCUGAUCGUACGUGCAGCGAGGUUACGCACACAUUCAAGGAUUUGCUUGUACAACAGUUUGUACUAUAACUGCGCGCUGGAGCGCGUGGUGGCACGUGGCGUAUGAGUAACGCGACCUUCAAACGCUACAAAACAAAAGUAAGCCCGAAGGAGCUGUUAACCAAAGACCCAAAAAGAAGAAAGAAAUCUGCAUUGGAUCAUCAAAAAAACAGAGCACAUUUUCUACGCAGUUUAACAAGUAAAACGCAAGCACACGCCUGCCUCCUCUCAACAGCAACGCAUACAUAGAAGGAGCAUUACAGAGGAGGUUGGGUCAGUCGUGACUAGGCUAAGAAGAAGCGAGAAAGCGAAGCGAUUGCACACGCAAACAAGGAAGAUCCAACUUUCACGAGCCAAAAGACUGAGUUACUACUGGUUUUUAGUAGCGAAAAAAUCUUAAAAAGAAGAAAAGAAGGGCCACCGAAAAAAAGGACGAUCAGCAGCAGAAGCAGCAGAGCAGCAAGGAAAACCAACAGAAAGAAAGAUAGAAAGCAACGAAGAAAUUUUGCCUUAACGAAAUUAUUGCGGUUGCCUAUUAGCAGAGAGAAAAGCGCUGCGAGCAAGCAUUAGCAGGAAUUUGUCGUAAAAAGGCAAGAGGUUUGUUUCCAAGUGAAAGAAAAGCAAGAACGGUUUUUUUGCUGCCUCGAAGUUGGCAGAAAAAUUAAAAAAAAAAAAACGGUUUAAGAUAUACUCUGCUUGAGUAGCACAGGCAAGCUAGCAGUGGAAAGCAAAUAUGAGUUCAAGCUGCGAAGCAACAACCUGGGUAACAAAAGUAAUCAGCAAAGCAAGUGGUUACACAUAGAGCGUGAGGCGGCAGGCAGGGGAGGGGAGGGGAUACUUACAAACAACAAAACGAUAGUCUAAAAAUCGCUGCUAUUGUCACCGUUCUUCGUUUAUUCUUUGCUUGUUUUUGUCGCGUACACUUUGUCAUCGGAUUCGAAGCAACGCGUGAAUGCUGGCUUGACAACGCCGGCUGCGACAGCACAGCGGAUAAGUCAUCGUUUUGUAGUUUAUGCAUGCGAAAAAAAAA